rnacentral:rRNA from 1 species
UACGUAGGGCGCAAGCGUUGUCCGGAAUUAUUGGGCGUAAAGAGCUCGUAGGCGGCCUGUUGCGUCCGCUGUGAAAUCCCGGGGCUUAACCCCGGGCUUGCAGUGGAUACGGGCAGGCUGGAGGCAGGCAGGGGAGAACGGAAUUCCCGGUGUAGCGGUGAAAUGCGCAGAUAUCGGGAGGAACACCGGUGGCGAAGGCGGGUUCUCUGGGCCGUGAACUGACGCUGAGGAGCGAAAGCGUGGGGAGCGAACAGG